AAUUUUGUAGUUUGUUUUAAUGCAUACGGUUGGUCUUGUAUUCUUGUAUUUCAUUUUGAUACAAAUUGGGCAUCACCUAAUUUGGCCAACAUUUCCUCUCUCUCCCUCUCCAAAGUUUCAUAUUUUCUUGUAUCCUAACUAGGAAUUUCUCAGAUACCUCUUUUCCCAUUUUUGUAGCUUGGUUUAAGAACUGUUGAGCACAUUGGACAUAUAAAGACUAAUAUAUGUAAUGCAAGAUGGUAGUUUUGGUUAAUAAGAAGUCAUACCCCGCUCUUGAAAAUUGAAACUAGUGAGGAAUCUUAAUAAAUUUUACUUGCAGGUCAAGGUGUGAUGUGUGUUCUUCGUAUUUUGUGCUUUGUAUCCCAUUCAACACUACUAGGGCCCAAUGACUAAAUUUUGUGCAUUUUUUCUAUUUGUGCAUUGCAAUUUGUAUGAGUAAGCUUGGGCUUCAUUUGGCCUCACUGUCUACAGAGAGGGGAAAAUACUUUCCUUUUAUGUUAUGCUGCAUUCUGAAAUGACACCUACGUUGCUAUUUUUAUUGAUAUAUGAUAUAAAUAUUGCUGCCUGAAUUAUGAAAAAAUCCACCGAAGUAACAUUUGUUUAUUGAUGUGAUGUGGCAGGCUCGACGCAUGAUAUUGUUAUUCUAAUCCAUAUUAGUGUGCUUUCUAUUAUAUGCAUGCUGCCAAGUCUAGUUCUAGUUUUGAUGUAUUCCGGAGAUGGUUCUCUCUGUGGAAUCUUGAUUUGAUGGAAGUAGUGGGCUGGCUUGCUCCUUGUCCAACCCUGAUUCCUCUCUUAAGUUGGCCUAAUUGUACUUGACAAAAAAAGUUGACCUCGUGGGAGGAGUAAUGGACUGCAAGUUCCACCCUAGGCAACCAUGGUUAUUCACUGCGGGUGCUGAUUCAGUGAUCAAACUGUACUGUCAUUAAAAAAAGAAAAGACGGUGAAUUGCCCUGUCUGUGUUUCAUAUUAUUAUUGGUUGAAACACAUUCUCACUUCAGCUAAAAUGGAUGAUGGGGUCAAUCAAUCUCACCGGGGAGAUUGGGCAGCUGAAGUGUGUUUCAGAUAUAUGAUUCAAUUUUUGAAGGCAGGAAGUUUUGUAAAGGAUAAAGUAUGGCAUGCCCCAAUUGUUGUGAUAAGCCAUGCUUCUUACCUCCAUGGAUAUACUAUACGGUCUCUCUACAAAGCAGUCCAAAUAUCAGGUGAUCAGGUACUUCAACUUUUUUUUUUUCUGUA